rnacentral:ncRNA from 1 species
GGGUGCAGCGCGCGCUGCAGGUCAUCGGGGAGGGUCGGGCCGCCCUCCU